rnacentral:rRNA from 1 species
UACGUAGGGUGCAAGCGUUGUCCGGAAUUAUUGGGCGUAAAGAGCUCGUAGGCGGUUUGUCGCGUCGAAUGUGAAAACCCGGGGCUCAACCCCGGGCCUGCAUUCGAUACGGGCAGACUAGAGUUCGGUAGGGGAGAGCGGAACUCCUGGUGUAGCGGUGGAAUGCGCAGAUAUCAGGAAGAACACCGGUGGCGAAGGCGGCUCUCUGGGCCUUACCUGACGCUGAGGAGCGAAAGCGUGGGUAGCGAACAGG